CCGGCGCGGGGAAAAGAGGGGGAGGGAGGGACAGGUAACGCGCCCUGUCCUGCAGCCCGAGCCGCUCCGCGAGGGUGUCGCUCUGGGGGCCGAGAAGGCCAGCGCUGCUCCCCAGCUGGGCUCAGGUGUGUUUCUUAAGGAUUGGACGCAAGGAGCGUCUCGCACUGCUCUCGUUCCCCGCCCAGCUUGCUAGCACGAAAGGGAAGAGCGUCCUUCGGAACACCCCAACUUUGCGGCCGCCUUCGCCUUAUUUCUCCUGCCUGAAAAGCAGGUGGCCUCUGACCGCCGACCCCGCGACUCUUUAGGUUCGAGUUACAGACGACAGAUCGUAGCCCUGGAAAGUUCCUUGCGGACUCAACUGCUGGCAAUAAGGAGCGCGCCGGAAGGAGGGGUGCAUUUGAACCCUUUGCCCUGUGGCUCGCUUGCGACGCCAGGCUCGAUAAACUCGCCCGCUGCAAUCCUGCUACUUGCCCAAAUUCUUUACUACAAGAGGGGCGCCGAGCGGCGCAAAGUAUUCUGGCUUUCGAGCUGAAGGCGCAGUUCUCCCGCGCAGCGCUUCUGUAUCUCUUUUGCGCCCGCUCGUGGGGUCGCUUGGCAGACGGCCUUCCAACCCCUGUCACUGGGGGCUUCAUGGGCGGCGCGGUUGGGUUCGGUUGCCGGGCCCAAACGGGCCAAGAAUUCAUUGGAAGGGAGGCCCGCGACAAAGUUUGGAGCCGAGUCCUGAAAUUAAAAGGACGCGCUAGCGCGGCAGGUCUCGCUUUAUAAAAACCAAUCGCUACGUUCUUAGCCUGUAGCCGGCUGUGUGUAAUAUCAUAGAGCUACAGCGCCCACUAGCGGAGGCGAUGAAAACCGCUGCUUAUUUUACCUUCGUUUUGGCGAUCUUCGGAAAACUUCGCCUUGAAGUCAAACUGGAGUUUUGUUGUUUUUGUUGUUGAAAUCAUCGUCGUUGUUAACGGGACUUUUUAAGAGAUUGAAUCCGUUUAGGAAUUAGGGGUGAAAUGCUUGCUUUCGAUCUGAACUGUCUAAUCGGCAGGUAGCCAAAGUAAACGAGCGCAAAUUAAAAUCUGGCUAAAACUAGAUAUAGCCCAUAUGUUAUGAAUUAUAAACGUUUUAAUUGAAGGUUUGAGUAGUGGAAAGGUAGGAAUUCGAAAUUAUCUAAAAUGAUGUGGAUUUCAAGAAAGAUAAUCAUAAAAAUAAUUUUGCGGCGAUAUUAGAAGAAUAUGUGAUACCUCAAGUAUACGAUUAGACAUUAAAGCUUUGUUCGAAAAAUACCUAUUUAAAAAUAAAUGCAAUGACGUAAAAAAGAAAUUAUUUCGGACUGAGAAGCAGAAAACACUUUUAAAUAUUGGCUUAACCACAGGGAACAAAGCGGCUAGAAAAUAAAUGUCAAAUCUACGCAGAAUUUUAUUCUCCUCCCAUUAUUAAAACUUAGCGUUUUUGCGCUUAAACAAAAUGAUACCAGGAAAUCAUCACAACCGGAGCGGAUUAAUAAUUUCAGGAGAAAACUGGGUUUAAAUUUCUGGGAUUUUUACUCGUUUAUUUAGAGGAGGAAAUUCUUUUUAAAAAAAAAAAAAAAAAAAGCCGAGUGAAAGUCCCACUUGCAAAACCGAGUGACUCCGAUUUCGCAGCUCCAGGUUUGGCACCGUCUCCCGCAGUCACCGAAAUGGGGUGGCUGGAAUCUGCUCUUUCCUGGGACACUCGCACAAAAUUGACGUCCUCGAAGUGGACUGAUUCGAUGUCCCUGACCAACCCAAAUAGUUUCUCGGGGGGAGGACGAUCCUCUGUGCCCCCCUGGAGUUCAGUGCUGCAAAACCAAGCCCCAGAUGCGAAGAGAAGCAGAAGAGCGGGAAGGUGUGGGGAAGGGAGACAAGCUUUGUACUUCGGAAGACGGUGCCUGGAAAUUCGGCGUUCCUCCCCUGUCCCGAUCUAUUGGAUCCGAUCUAAUUUGCUGAGCUGGACAACCGAUACCGAGGUGGCUCCAGGAGUCCUUUGGCCGUUGUGGAGCAGCGGUGCGACAAGGCCCAGGAACUCUGCUCAGGAUUGGCAGGACGUGGGGGAGGGGAGGGCAGGUGUGUACUCAGCGAUCCUAGAUGGGGGUGGCGGUUCUUGGAAGAGUCGCUCCGCAGCUGCUUGGGCGUCUCGAGGUGGCUUCUCCCGAGGAACCGUGCAGAGGAUCGGCUUUUGGCCCAACCCGCUCAGGGAGCCCAGGCCGAAGUCCUCGAUAGUUGCAGCAAGGGACGGCCCGACGUUCCCAGGUAGGGCGCCCUAGAAGAUACCUAGGAGAAGCAUUUUAAAAACGGAGGGGUGGAUGGGGCUGGUCUUCCCAAACUACGGACUCUCUUCUUUCACGAUUUCGGAGCGCUUUCGCUAAAUCUUCCUUUGAAUAGAUCUGGGUGCGGCUGCCGGGGCCUGGUUGCUGAAUGGCGUGUGAGCGAAAGCUUGAGAAGGACGGAAUCACUUCCUUGGCCACUUCACUUCUUUUUCGGACGUCCCCCCUCCCUUCCUCAGCGACAGCACAAAUGAACUCUUAAGGUUUGCGCAUUUCAAGGCGCCUCGAUCAGAAACGCGGGAAACGGAAGAUUAGAGUUACCGGAUCUGGGCUGCCAAAAAUCCGGUCGACCACUAGAUGGCAGCAGAAACGUCCUGACCACAAUCCCCCGAGCAGAUUUUUGCAGGACCAAGUCUGGCUCAUCACUAGGGCUUAUUGCCAAAGAAAUGGGCGACGGCGAGGAUUGCCUAAAGCUCUGUCCUGGCGGUAGGAAGCGAGAGGGGCCUACCGCUGCGGCUGCCUAGACCGAGAACGGGUGAUUGAUUCUCCAUCCGCUUCGGGAUAAGGAGGCCUGGGCUACUGGCAACAAUUGCUCUGAUUUCUCUAGCCUAGAAGCGAGCGAAGGGAUCGAGCCCGCCACGCGAGGCCUGCGUGGGGGGGGGGGGGCAGAGGAAGAGAACCGACAAAGGAGCAGCAGCGAAACGGAGAGGCGCGAAGCCUCCAACUUUGGACUUUAAUUUCUAGGUUGGGGAAGCUUCGUGCGCUCUCUCUAAAGCUCGUCUACCUCGCCAAGGUUUUUACGGUACAACAAAAAAGGUCUGACGAGAUCCAGCCGGAUUGAGGAGUAUAAAAAGAGGAAGACGGUUUGAACAAAUUGACUUGUGAGCGGCAACCAGCUUUUUCUUUUGCAAAACUACUCCCUCUGGGAACAAAGGGCAAUUAGCUUAGGGCAGGUCUCCCUUUUAAGGAGAGAGGAAGGUCUUGUCCUAAGGGAAAAGCACCGUUUUGGGGAGUGGGGGUGUUUCCCCCUCCCCAUUUGGAUAUAUUCAAUCUUCUGGAUCUUUGAAAGUCUCUUGUGGUUUAAAUUGGAAAUAAAAUCUCUGCCUUGGUGACAAUAA